rnacentral:rRNA from 1 species
GAUGAACGCUGACAGAAUGCUUAACACAUGCAAGUCGAUGGGGAAGUGGUGCUUGCACCAUGGCAACCAUGGCGGACGGGUGAGUAACGCGUAAGGGACUUACCUGCAGGACUGGGAUAACAGGGGGAAACUCCUGACAAGACCGGACAAUGUCAUGGAGCUGCAUGGCUUUAUGAUGAAAGGAGACGCCUGCGGAGAGCCUUGCGUCCUAUUAGCUAGUUGGUGAGGUAAUGGCUCACCAAGGCGAAGAUAGGUAGCCGGCCUGAGAGGGUGGACGGCCACAAGGGGACUGAGAUACGGCCCUUACUCCUACGGGAGGCAGCAGUGGGGAAUAUUGGACAAUGGGGGCAACCCUGAUCCAGCAAUUCUGUGUGCACGAAGAAGGUUUUCGGAUUGUAAAGUGCUUUCAGCAGGGAAGAAGUAAGUGACGGUACCUGCAGAAGAAGCGACGGCUAAAUACGUG